ACUUCAUUCAUCCUUACAUAGUCUGUUUAGUGUCACAAAUAGGAAGAAAAUUUCUGGAAAAAUGGAUAUAACUGCACAGUCUCUUUCCCAUGCUAAGCUUCCCGCAGGCUGCUCCACCUCUGUAUCAACACCCAUCUUCCAUUCUAAACCCUCUAUUCUUGCUCAUAGUUCAAUCGCUUUUCAGUCUCCAAAGAACCCUUUCGUACAGCUGC
rnacentral:misc_RNA from 1 species